rnacentral:rRNA from 1 species
UACGGGGGGGGCAAGCGUUGUUCGGAAUUACUGGGCGUAAAGGGCUCGUAGGCGGCCAACUAAGUCAGACGUGAAAUCCCUCGGCUUAACCGGGGAACUGCGUCUGAUAUUGGAUGGCUUGAGAUUGGGAGAGGGAUGCGGAAUUCCAGGUGUAGCGGUGAAAUGCGUAGAUAUCUGGAGGAACACCGGUGGCGAAGGCGGCAUCCUGGACCAACACUGACGCUGAGGAGCGAAAGCCAGGGGAGCAAACGGG